AUCAUAAAAUUGGACCAUAAAGCGACCAUGCUAGCAGGUUCAUAUUGAAUAUCAUGGUUGCCAAAAGAGAUAGGGCAUGCCAAUAAACUGUAGUAGGACUUGUGGAGUCCGCCACAUAUUUAGGACAUAUCAAUUAGCUGUAGUAGUCCUCAUGGAGUCUGCCAUGAUUUCAGGACAUAUUAAAGAUGUUGGAUGACUCUUGACAAAAAUGUUGAGAUGAGUUGACCUUUGUAUUGGUUAUGAAAAGGUCACAUAUUACUUUCUCUAAUGUUUUGAUUCCUUAAAAAUUAAUUUCAAGUUUGAACCAACUUAGGGGCUUUAUUGUUUCAGUAAAAGGCUUGACCAAGAUGGGGAGUCUGGA
rnacentral:lncRNA from 1 species